ensembl:lncRNA uncharacterized LOC114801008
GAUGGAGGAGGUACACAGCAUUGGCUCAGAGAGCCCAUGCAACAAGGUCAAUAUCCACCUGAAUGGGAAAGCUGUGGAACCAUCCACCAGCCUGCCAGCAACUUUGUCUCUGGAGAGCAGGGGGAACCUGCUGCAUUCUCAUCAUGUGUUGCCUCUGGAGGCCAUUCGCGAGGUGGAUGAAGCCAAGGAGGUCAUCUCUUCCCUGCGAAGUCCUGAAGACGGGGAGGUUAGGGUCAAACUUCAGGCAGAGGAGUCACAACUUCUCCUCGCUGAAGGACAUGCCAGUAGAGAGGAUGCAAAGAACUGUGAUAGUGCUGCAGGGAUCAUUACAGGGGAGACCACAAUGGCUUUCCUUUCUGGUGAAGAUAAGAUCAGCCCGGGUCCACAAGCCGAUGAAUGUGAUUCCUCCUGUGACGCCUCAGAUCCAUGCCCUUCAUUGGAAGAUUCCCCCACAAUCCCAGUUCACAGGAGGCUUGACUUGGAAUCACAUUCAUUAAACAGGGGCGCAGAGCCGCUGACUAUAAUUAGGGAUGCCGAGCCAGCGACCUCCACCCACAGUCUCAUUGAGGUCCUCAGCGCCUGCAAGACCAAAGUGGAGCAACUGGAGCAGCUCAAGUGUUCCUCGUCAGAACUGGCAGUGAAGCUCCAGUCCGCGCAGGCGACGGCGGCGCAGCUGCAGCGACAGAUGGCCGGGCUGGAGGAAGAGGCGCACGGGCUACGGGAGCAGCUGCAGCAGGCCCGGUCCGCCCUGCAGGAGCGGAGUGCGGAGGCGGCCCGCGCCGCGGAGGAGCUGCGGCUGCUCCGCCCGCAGCCGGGGAAGGACAGGCCCAGCUCAAAACUGUGCGCGCUGCUGUGACUGGGCUGAGAGGGGGGCCGCCACGCCCCGAUAAAAGAACCUCGUUUAGGACGAUUUCAAGCGACGCAUCACUGCAGAGAACCGAAGGAGAGGUGUCUCUGUCGGCAGAACUGGCCACAAAUACGUGCUGGUCGGCCUGGAAGCUUGUGCAUUGCAAAAAUAGAGAAUAUCAUGAAGAAUGUCAUUUGUUUUAGCAACCUAAUUUAAAAGAUAAACCCACUUAUGUUCAUUUUAUACCUUUUUAGUUGGUUAGACUGAUAGAUCAUUAAAAACAGGAAUCCAGUAUCUGUAACUGUUAGAAUAUUACAUAAGAGCAAUCAAAACACUGAUACGUUAACAAAUUAAACCAAUACUUGUUUUGGGAUGGAUGGGUUGAAUUGAGUUACCAGAACAAAAGACAUUUUCCCAUAAUAUUCUAUUUUUUAACAUGCAGUCAAAAAUGCAACGAACAAUGUCAAUAUCGUUGGUUUGGAAUGAAAAUUAGACAUGAGCCAUUGAGAUAUGAAACACAAGAUACAUAAGAAGACAACAUUUAUUGCAUAAAACUGGUGUUUGGGUUAUAUAACACAGUAGAAUUAUGAAAAGUAUGUGAUGCAUAUGUUUACAGUUCGUGUUUAUGCACUUAAGAGUGUCUAGCAUCAUGAAUAUUUAAAUAUGGAACAUUAGUCGACAUCGUGGGGGGGGGUAGUGUGCGCCGCGCUCGUGUUGAAGUCGGACGCGGGCCCGUGCCUACUGUCCAGCAGUCACUGUGAACUGUUCACCUGCAAUAAGCACAAUGAGUAUGAAAUAUUCAGGAGAAUUUCAAUAUUGAUCUGGCGGCGGUGGUGGGGGGGUCUGGUGCUCAUCUUACAUGGCCUACUAAAGAUGUUGCUUCUGUGUGUGUGUGUGUGCAUGUGAGGAACUACCUAAAGCUGGGCAAAGGGCGGAUAUAAAUAGGAAAUACAAAUUAGAACACCUCUGUAAUUACCAUCUUCUAAAUUGUACUAGAUCUUGAAUAAACAAGUUAUUUGCGCAAUCA